AUUGAACGCUGGCGGCAUGCCUUACACAUGCAAGUCGAACGGUAACAGGUUAAGCUGACGAGUGGCGAACGGGUGAGUAAUGUAUCGGAACGUGCCCAAUCGUGGGGGAUAACUGCUCGAAAGAGCAGCUAAUACCGCAUACGACCUGAGGGUGAAAGCGGGGAAUCGCAAGACCUCGCGCGCGUGGAGCGGCCGAAAUCAGAUUAGGUAGUUGGUGGGGUAAAGGCCUACCAAGCCUACGAUCUGUAGCUGGUCUGAGAGGACGACCAGCCACACUGGGACUGAGACACGGCCCAGACUCCUACGGGAGGCAGCAGUGGGGAAUUUUGGACAAUGGACGCAAGUCUGAUCCAGCCAUGCCGCGUGCGGGAAGAAGGCCUUCGGGUUGUAAACCGCUUUUGUCAGGGAAGAAAAGGUUCUGGUUAAUACCUGGGACUCAUGACGGUACCUGAAGAAUAAGCACCGGCUAACUACGUGCCAGCAGCCGCAGUAACAC
rnacentral:rRNA from 1 species